rnacentral:lncRNA from 1 species
UCAUUUUAAUAUUUUCCGGGGCCGUUACAGUUGGUAUCAGAGCCGCAUUUCCUCGGACCCAUCCCUUACACUAUAGUCCUUCAAAAAAAAAAAUACUCACCGAUGGGUCGUUACUCAACCAUUCCUUGUAAAUGCAGGUACACAGAAAUGAGGAGAGGAAGGCCCCCACUAAACCGAGCGGCACAAGAUAAUUCACUUCGGG